rnacentral:lncRNA from 1 species
CUCUCACCUGCCUCAUAUGAUCUUCCUAUAAAAGGCCACACCCAACUCUUCUCAUGGCCUUUACGAUGAAGUCAGUGUUCUGACAUAGAACUUGUGAUCCUGGCUCCUGAAAACAUCCUGUAUUUAUCUGCAUUAUUUUAAUCUGAAGUUACUUACCUGCUUGACCUUCCAUAUUGAAUCUACUUACCUGUUUCAACUGCUGCAACACUGCAUAAUCCUGUAA